rnacentral:rRNA from 1 species
UCCUACGGGGUGCAGCAGGCGCGGAACCUUUACAAUGCAUGCAAGUGUGAUAAGGGAACCCUCAGUGCUCAUGUUUUACAUGGGCUUUUGCCAAGCGUAAAUAGUUUGGCGAAUAAGUGGUGGGUAAGACUGGUGCCAGCCGCCGCGGUAACACCAGCGCCACGAGUGGCAACCACGUUUAUUGGGCCUAAAGCGUCCGUAGCCGGUUUGGUAAAUCUCUUGUGAAAUCGUCAGGCUUAACUUGACGGCGCGCUCGAGACACUGCCUUACUUGAGACCGGGAGGAGUGAGAGGUAUUCCUGAGGGAGCGGUAAAAUGUGUUAAUCUCAGGAGGAUCACCUAUGGCGAAGGCAUCUCACCAGAACGGAUCUGACGGUCAGGGACGAAGGCUAGGGGAGCGAUCCGGAUUAGAUACCCGAGUAGUCCUAGCAGUAAACGCUGCGAGCAAGAUGUUGCACUUCUUAAGAGGAUGUGCAGUGUCGAAGAGAAGUCAUUAAGCUCGCCGCCUGGGAAGUACGGUCGCAAGACUGAAACUUUAAGGAAUUGGCGGGGGAGCAC